rnacentral:rRNA from 1 species
UAGUCCACGCCGUAAACGAUGGUUACUAGCUGUUUGAACUUCGGUUUGAGUGGCUAAGCGAAAGUGAUAAGUAACCCACCUGGGGAGUACGUUCGCAAGAAUGAAACUCAAAGGAAUUGACGGGGGCCCGCACAAGCGGUGGAGCAUGUGGUUUAAUUCGAUGAUACGCGAGGAACCUUACCAGGGCUUAAAUGUAGAUUGACAGGUUUAGAGAUAGACUUUCCUUCGGGCAAUUUACAAGGUGCUGCAUGGUUGUCGUCAGCUCGUGCCGUGAGGUGUCAGGUUAAGUCCUAUAACGAGCGCAACCCCUGUGGUUAGUUGCCAGCGAGUAAUGUCGGGAACUCUAGCCAGACUGCCGGUGCAAACCGUGAGGAAGGUGGGGAUGACGUCAAAUCAUCACGGCCCUUACGUCCUGGGCCACACACGUGCUACAAUGGUAGGGACAGAGAGCAGCCACUUAGCGAUAAGGAGCGAAUCUAUAAACCCUAUCUCAGUUCGGAUUGUCUUCUGCAA